GCCUCGCCUUCGGUCGACGAUUCCUACGGGAGGCAGCAGCAGGGAAUUUUGCACAAUGGGCGAAAGCCUGAUGCAGCGACGCCGCGUGCGGGAUGAAUGCCUUCGGGUUGUAAACCGCUUUCAGGAGGGACGAAGCGAAAGUGACGGUACCUCCAGAAGAAGCCCCGGCCAACUACGUGCCAGCAGCCGCGGUAAUACGUAGGGGGCGAACGUUGUCCGGAUUUAUUGGGCGUAAAGAGCUCGUAGGCGGCUCAGCAAGUCGGCCGUGAAAACCCGGGGCUCAACCCCGGGACGCCGGUCGAAACUGCUGUGGCUAGGGUCCGGUAGAGGAGAGUGGAAUUCCCGGUGUAGCGGUGGAAUGCGCAGAUAUCGGGAGGAACACCAGUAGCGAAGGCGGCUCUCUGGGCCGGUACCGACGCUGAGGAGCGAAAGCUAGGGGAGCGAACAGGAUUAGAUACCCUGGUAGUCCUAGCCGUAAACGUUGGGCACUAGGUGUGGCGGACUCAUUGACGUCUGCCGUGCCGCAGCUAACGCAUUAAGUGCCCCGCCUGGGGAGUACGGUCGCAAGGCUAAAACUCAAAGGAAUUGACGG
rnacentral:rRNA from 1 species